AGGUGUGAUCAUACCAGUACUAAUGCACUGGAUCCCAUCAUAACUCUCCAGUGAAGCGUGCUUGGGCGAGAGUAGUACUAGGAUGGGUGACCACGUGGGAAGUCCUCGUGUGUCACCUC
rfam:Lupinus angustifolius cultivar Tanjil chromosome LG09, whole genome shotgun sequence.